UACGAGGGGGGCGAGCGUUGUUCGGAAUUAUUGGGCGUAAAGGGUGCGUAGGCGGUUUGGUAAGUCUCUUGUGAAAUCUAUGGGCUCAACUCAUAGUCUGCAAGGGAAACUGCCGGGCUUGAGUGUGGGAGAGGUGAGUGGAAUUUCCGGUGUAGCGGUGAAAUGCGUAGAUAUCGGGAGGAACACCUGUGGCGAAAGCGGCGCACUGGACCAUAACUGACGCUGAGGCGCGAAAGCUAGGGGAGCAAACAGG
rnacentral:rRNA from 1 species